CAACUUCAGUGACAACAGGUU
rnacentral:siRNA from 1 species